rnacentral:lncRNA from 1 species
UUGGACUAAAAUUCACGAUCUCAAAUAGAUAAAUUAUUAUUAAAACCAUGGUUAUAAGAUGGGAAAACAUGACAUAUCUAGGAAAGAACGAGACGAGACGGGUUCCUGUCCUAAAAUAAACAAACCACCUUUUUUACUUUUUUUUUUUAAUGUAGUUGAUAACAAAACCAAAUCCUAUCUUUUUUUCUUUCUAAACUGAAUAAAUUACAAUAAAUAUUGAACUGGUACGAAUUCAGAUUAUGAAUUUGAAUAAUAUUCCUAAUAUAAUUACAUUUAUAAACAUAACAUCACAUGUACGUAAUAUGUUGCAAACAUGAUAGCAAACUUAGUUUUUGAAAUCAAU